rnacentral:Y_RNA from 1 species
GGUUGGUCCCAGUGCAGUGCUGUUUACAACCAAUCACAACCAGUUACAGAUUCCUUUGUUCCUUCUCCACUCCCACUGCCUCAUUUGAGCAGCCUAAA